GCUUUCGUGGUGUAGUGGUCAACACUCUUGGCGUGUAUUCAAGAGGUCUGUGGUUCAAGUCCCGGCGAAGGCA
rnacentral:tRNA from 1 species